rnacentral:lncRNA from 1 species
AUAUAUUAGAAUAAAUAUACAUAUAAUUUAUAUAUGUGUUUAUGUAUAACGUGUGUUGGUCCACAAAUUUUGGUUUGUGCAUUUAGUAUUUAAUGUAAUGCCCUUGUCCUUAGGGUCUUUAAAAGUCUCUGUCUUUUUAAAAAACUGCCUAUUUAUUGUCCAUAAAUAAACUUCCUUCCUAACUUUAUUGAGCAUCAUAGUAGUAAUUAUCCAAGCAGCAAUAUAGAUGGGAAGGCAUAUUUCAAUUUGAAAUGCUGUCAGGUAGAAAUUCCCCUACUGCAAGUGAUAAUUUAUGUAGUCCCAGGAUGGUGGAAAUGUGUUAGUAGUAAUGAGCACUAGUGUGCACCCAGAUCUAAGAAUGUUGCAAGUGGUUAAGAUGACCACAGACCUGUUGCUACAAUUAUUUAACAAAUAGCUAAAAUAUCUACUAUGUUUAGGGCACUAUCCCAGGCCCAGGAGAUAAAAUUGAGUGCUAAAUUAAAGAAAGUUGAAGUAGAAUAUUGAGAAGGAAGAAUUUUUUAACAAGGACUGUGUUUUGUUCUUCUGGUUUUUUUUGUGUCUUUUGAGGAAGAUUAGCCUUGAGCUAACUACUGCCAAUCCUCCUCUUUUUGCUGAGGAAGCCUGGCCCUGAGCUAACAUCCAUGCCCAUCUUCCUCUACUUUAUACGUGGGACGCCUACCACAGCAUGGCUUGCCACACGGUGCCAUGUCUGCACCUGGGAUCUGAACCAGUGAACCUCAGGCCGCUGAGAAGCGGAACGUGUGCACUUAACCGCUGUGCCACCGGGCUGGCCCCAACAAGGACUAUGUUGAAGGAAGGUAACAUGAGAUCAGAAAGUGAAAAGCACACAAACAAAAACUAUGAGACAAAAGGAAUAUGAAAAAUGAAUCUUAGAUUAGAAGACAAAGAAAAUUAAAGUCACUACUCAUAACAAUAAGAUGGAACUGUCUUUUCCUAUCUCAAGAGUGAAACAAGCCUGAUUUACAUAAAUUUGUAUGCAUAAUUUGUACAGGCACUGGACACCUGGAAGGUUGCCAGCAUAGCCUUUGGUGAGACAAAGUUCAGGGGAGUCUGAAUUACAGGAAACCAGUUAGUGGUGUUGUCUGUUCUUUAUCUAGUUGCUUACUUCCUUGGUUUUUCUUAAUGUUCUUGAUUACAGAGGGCUAGAGUAGUGAGGGAGGUUUAAAAAAUAGCUGAUGUGUGAUAUAUUAGUAUGAAGUAAUGUUAAGGCUCUUAAUCUGUUGUGCAAAUGAAUAAACGAUUAUACAUUUUAUCUUCAUAUAUAAUUAUUCCUCUUUGUAAUGUUUAUCAUUCAUUCUCUAUAUUUACAACAUCGUUGUUAGUAUAGAUAAGACCAGUGGUAGUUAGUGUAACACUAAUACUAACUCCUCUCGUUUCUUCAACAUUUACUAUGUGCUGGGUCCUCUGCUAAGCACUUUUCAUAUGCAGCAGCCUAUGAGGUCAGCAUAUUAGUACCUCGCCCCCGUGCACCGACGGAUGAUGGAAGUCUGGCGCACAGAGGUUAAGUGAUUUAAGUUCCUGUAGCUACUAGGCUACCUGGGAUUUAAGUUCAGCAGUCUGACGUGGACCCCUUGAUAACUGUGCUCUCCAGUACAGAUGACCAGGUCUGAUUUACUCUAAAGUUGGUUUAUUUGAAUCAUUGAAGACAUAAUAUCCAGAGACCAGAAGAACUCUCACUUUUAUUAUGCAGUUCAUAUCUAGACAUAAAGUUCUCGUUGAGUUUCAGAAAGAGUUACUUACCAGUGCUUGUUGAAGUACUGAAUCAUGACAUGGAUGGUGUUUUGAAGGCAUGAUUUAGCACUGUUUGAGUGUGAUUAGGGCAGGGAGUUCCCUUGUAAGGGAAAGGUCAUGGGCUGGAAUCCUGUGGGUGUCAGUUAGCUUGCUCACCCUAUGGCCAAAGCCUGCCCUUUUAACUCUAGCUCUCCCCCAACAAAAAGGGGCAUGUGGGUAUAAGGGGUGCCAGAUGUGAGGAUGUAGAUGGGCCAGUGCCCAUCCGUCACUAGGAUGAUGGCCAAAAAUCAAAGCUCUGUCACUGAAAGCCUCAGUGAAAAAAUAGAUAUUUUUAUAUAUAAUAUAUACAAAUAUUUUUAUUUACUUGAAAAUAUAUUUGUUCAUAUAAGAUGACAAGAUGAGACAUAUAUAUAUAUAUAUAUAUAUAUAUUUAGUCUCAUAUUUUUAUACUCUCCUUUCUGUUUUGGGCCAUAUUUUAUUUUCUUUUAACCUAGACUUAUUUUCAAAAUUCCCCCUUUUGGGGUCUCUAAACCUCCAUAUUUUAACUUUCCGUAAGUAGGACCUAGGACAGUGCCAUAAGCAUAGUAAUGGCUCAAAUGGUUAAACUAUGUAGCAGAAAAAUCUUGUGGUCACCUCAGCCAUUUGUAACAUUUUGUAUCCCGAUGUAGGCUGGCUUUCCUUAUUCUUGACAUAUCUUUAUGGGAAUAUCAACAAAAGAUAGGUAGAAAGAUUGAUAGAGAGGCCCUUGUAAUGGAGUAGUUUUCUAUUUGUUAACAUUUCCGAGUUGAAAUGAGAGCAUCUGGGAACCUAAAGUAGGAACUUAAGUCAAAAAUCUGUCAAUAAUAAUACUAUUAUUAAUAUUAAUACAUUGAUAAUUAUUGAUAUAAAUUUUAGGUUGAACCAUAUGAAAUUGCCAAUAUUGAACCAUUUUGACCUAUGAAAAUGGCUGCUUUUGUGGUUUAAACUAAAAUGCUGGUAGCAGCUCCCUCAUAUUGAUUGCUAUGUGCCAGGACUGUGCUCCCUGAUUUCGUGCAGAACUGCAUCCUCCAACCUCAUGAGGCACAUAAAAUUACUUCCCCCAUUUUACAGACAGUAGAACAGCUUAGGGAAGUUAAGUAACUUUUCCGUAGUCAUUUAGAGCAACACUUUAAUGUUUACACUGUUAUUUUCCUUGCGAUGCUCACUGAGUCAGUAGAACAUGAUGAGAUGAGAAGGAAGAUAAGAAUGUUUUACUGUUAGUACAGCUCUGACACUUUUGAACCAGUGUCAGCUCUGAGGCGUUUUUAGCCAGUGGUGUUGUGAAGUAAUUGUAUCAUCAGUUAGCAGAGAAAUGCACAAAGGCUUUAGCUUCUGUUUGGCUCUGGCUGAUCUUUGUGAACCCUCAGCACUCGUCCUCAAUAAGUGCUGUAAAUCAGGGCAGGGUACAGCAGCUUCUGCCAUAUGAGCAGGGUUUAUUAUUACUUCUCAUUCUGGUUGCCUUUGCCAACCUUCCACUUUUCUAGGUGAGAGCUUGCCUUUCUGCUUAGACUUUUGAAAUGCAGCUGCUCCUAACUGCCCAGCUGAUCUGCAUCACUUUCUGCCUAGUCUUUUGCUGUCUGCUGGACCCUGUGUGUGAGGGGAUGCUUAGUCUUGCCCCUCCUGGUUCGGCCCGCUACCCUUGCCUGGACUUGACUGUAGAAUUCCAUUGUUUUCAGACAUGGCCUCACUGCGGGUAAAAGCAGUAGUCUUGCCUCUGAGCUGAGUCUUAGGAUGGACGUGGG